rnacentral:misc_RNA from 1 species
AUCGUAAUAUAGGAACAAGUAGGUGGGAAUCAUGGAUUUACUUAUUGUUAGUGAUGACUCAUGACGCAAGUCAAAUCAAAUGCCUAAGAAAAUAUGGCGGUGAUAGAGGCACGAUCGGUGGUGAUACUUUUUUGAUAUUAGCUAAAGUAUAUAUUUUCUUUAAGGUUACUGUGUGAUCCUUUCUAUCGUGAUUAUCAAGUUGGACAAUAAAACGUCAAAAUGAGUUUCUUCAGCAAAGUAUUUGGUGGUAAAAAGGAACCAGUUGCACCAUCAACGGCCGAGGCUAUUCAAAAAUUGCGUGAAACCGAGGAUAUGCUGAUUAAGAAACAAGACUUUCUUGAAAGCAAAAUUGAACUUGAAAUUCAAACAGCGAAAAAAAAUGGAACGAAGAACAAGAGAGCGGCUAUCCAAGCUCUCAAAAGAAAAAAGCGUUAUGAAAAGCAGCUACAACAAAUCGAUGGUACUUUGUCAACGAUUGAAAUGCAAAGAGAAGCUCUGGAAAGUGCCAACACAAAUACUGCGGUACUUACCACCAUGAAAAGCGCAGCGGAUGCAUUAAAAUCUGCUCAUCAACACAUGGACGUCGAUCAAGUUCACGAUAUGAUGGAUGAUAUUGCUGAACAACAAGAUGUUGCUAAAGAGAUUUCUGAUGCAAUAUCUAAUCCUGUAGCAUUUGGUCAAGAUAUAGAUGAAGAAGAACUUGAAAAAGAACUAGAAGAACUUGAACAGGAACAACUUGAUAAAGAAUUACUUGGUAUCGAAUCUACAGAUGAAUUACCAGCAAUACCUGCUACAACUGUUCCAGCUGUUCCAUCUGCUCCUGCAAGAACUCGUACAAAAGCUAAACCAGAGGAAGAUGAGGAUUUAAAAGAAUUAGAAGCAUGGGCAUCGUAAUUAAAUUGUAUGUCUAAAAAAAAGUAUUGCAGAUUAUUAAUCUGUACAUUGGUGAUUUUACAAAGUAAUAGCUUCAACAUCUAAUAUAGGAUAUCAAGUUUCGGUGAGAAAUGGGUUUGAAUAAACCAAGUGUUCCAGAUCCAAAAUGUGAUGUCCCACUACCAAUCCUAUAA